rnacentral:rRNA from 1 species
CCUACGGGAGGCAGCAGUGAGGAAUAUUGGUCAAUGGACGAGAGUCUGAACCAGCCAAGUAGCGUGAAGGAUGACUGCCCUAUGGGUUGUAAACUUCUUUUAUAUGGGAAUAAAAUGUUCCACGUGUGGGAUUUUGUAUGUACCAUAUGAAUAAGGAUCGUCUAACUCCGUGCCAGCAGCCGCGGUAAUACGGAGGAUCCGAGCGUUAUCCGGAUUUAUUGGGUUUAAAGGGAGCGUAGGUGGAUUGUUAAGUCAGUUGUGAAAGUUUGCGGCUCAACCGUAAAAUUGCAGUUGAAACUGGCAGUCUUGAGUACAGUAGAGGUGGGCGGAAUUCGUGGUGUAGCGGUGAAAUGCUUAGAUAUCACGAAGAACUCCGAUUGCGAAGGCAGCUCACUGGACUGCAACUGACACUGAGGCUCGAAAGCGCGGGUAUCGAACAGGAUUAGAUACCCGGGUAGUC